rnacentral:lncRNA from 1 species
UUGAUAAUUCUUGGACGCCUCCGGCAUGUGAACUUGGAGGUAAAGGAUCUGUUGAUGAUUGUGUGGACAGUUUGUGUCUGUUUGCGUAGGUUUAUAGACCAUGUUGUAGAGUUGAUUUCACCUUGACUUGGAAAUUACUCAAUGCCAUAGUUUGGUAUAGGAGAGGUGGCCGGAUGAUGGAUUGAUCUUGGACUGGAAAGGAGAUGUGAAUAGUAGAGUAGAGCUAAGAUUAAAGUAAGGUCGAUUCGGCAGUUGGGGUGUUAGAUUCAUUGUUGUACUCAUCAAUGGAAACUCCUAAUUUAGCAAAAUCAUUGUUGAAGAGAAAUGACGAGAUAUAUGCCAAUUCCAUUACACAUUGAAAUUCCUUCUUCUUUACGUUAGGUAAUGUCCACUGGCUGUACAUACCAAAAUAGAAUUGUGUCUAUGUUGAAGUUGGUUAAGCAAUUUAGGAUUUCCAGUUACAUGCUUGAUUGAUUGCUCUAGUGUAGAGUAUCUAUGUACUGUUGUUGAAGACGGACAUUGUUAGUACAACUUCAAACAUCAAGGCAACAACGUUUUUGUCAUUUUUUUCCUCCUCCAGAACAAGUUUGUACUUCUUCCCUUUGUUUUGCUACAUGAGAGAGGUGAAGAUGGCUUUGAACUCAUUAUCUUUUUGCUCUAAAGAUGAAUCAUCAUCACUGUCUUGGUUCUGAUGGUGAAUUGUGUUGACUUGAUAGAUUCGGCUUAAUAUUGUUGUUGGUGGUACAUGUGCGUUCUUGUUGCAGUUUCUCACCCAGUGCCCCUAUUUGCUGCAAUAGCUACAAUAUCCUUGUUUUGCUUGUGGAAGAAAAAAAAUUGUCAUUUGCUCUCUUAUAUUUGUUCUCUUGAACUUUGCAACUUUGGAACAUCUUUUGAAACUAGACCACCAAAUCCUCUUCAUCUACUUGUCUGGAUUUGUUGUUUCUUCUUGUCUCCCGUAGUUUGAGCCAAUCAGGAAGAUCCUCAAAGCUAGGCAUGUCUUUCAAGCCUAAGAUGUUUGUGACAAAGUUGUCAAAGCUCA